CGUGCAGGCGGUUUGGUAAGUUGGAUGUGAAAGCUCCCGGCUCAACUGGGAGAGGCCGUUCAAAACUACCAGACUAGAGGACGGUAGAGGGAGGUAGAAUUCCCGGUGUAGUAGUGAAAUGCGUAGAUAUCGGGAGGAAUACCAGUGGCGAAGGCGGCCUCCUGGACCGUUCCUGACGCUCAGACGCGAAAGCUAGGGGAGCGAACGGGAUUAGAAACCCCGGUAGUCCUAGCUGUAAACGAUGCAAACUUGGUGUUGGUGGGGUAAAAUCCGCCGGUGCCGAAGCUAACGCGAUAAGUUUGCCGCCUGGGGACUACGGCCGCAAGGUUAA
rnacentral:rRNA from 1 species